GUGCUCGCUUCAGCAGCGCAUAUACUAAAACUGGAACAAUACAAAGAUUAGCAUGACCUCCAGGCAAAGAUGAUACACAAAUUCAUGAAGCAUUCCAUAUUUUU